rnacentral:rRNA from 1 species
GACAGAGGGUGCAAACGUUGUUCGGAAUUACUGGGCGUAAAGCGCAUGUAGGCGGCCACGCAGGUCGGAUGUGAAAUCCCUCGGCUCAACCGAGGACGUGCAUUCGAAACCGCAUGGCUCGAGUCCCGGAGAGGUGGUGGAAUUCUCGGCGUAGAGGUGAAAUUCGUAGAUUUCGGGAGGAACACCGGCGGCGAAGGCGGCCAUCUGGACGGUAACUGACGCUGAGGAGCGAAGCG